CUGAAAGCAUCUAAGCGGGAAGCGAGCCCUGAGAUGAGUCAUCCCUGACCCCUUGAGGGUCCUAAAGGGCCGUUGGAGACCACAACGUUGAUAGGUGGGGUGUGUAAGCGCAGUGAUGUGUUGAGCUAACCCAUACUAAUUACCCGUGAGGCUUAACCAU
rnacentral:rRNA from 1 species